UCCCCAAUUAAUAAUGGAUACAACAUCAAAAAUAGCGAAUGGAUGCAAUUCGAAAAUUACGAAUGAAAAUUAAACCCUGUAAUAUGACAAUAUAUUUCUUCACAGGCCAACGACAUUGCUAUAAUCACACUGAAAUCGUCUCUGGAAUGGACUAACAACGUCGGACCCAUUUGCUUGCCACCUGAUAAUACCUUCGAAAAUAGGGAUGCAGUCAUAACAGGAUGGGGAUUGUUAGACUUCCCGGGGUCAACGUUUCCGGAUGAAUUACAAGAAGCAGCAGUCACUGUGUCCGACCUGAAGGAAUGCAAGGACGCUCAUGCGUUCUCGAACUUCCCUGUCACUGAUAAACAUAUUUGCGCCGCCGAUCCUGGAAGGGACUCCUGCAGGGGCGAUUCUGGGGGUCCCCUGAUGACGAAAGAAAACGGAGUAUGGGUGCUGCUCGGCUUGUCAAGUUUCAGCCCAAGGAAAUGUGCUACAGAAGGUGUCCCUGGCGUGUACACUCGUGUCUCUUCCUACAGUACAUGGAUACUCAGUAAAAUCUCUUCCGGAUCUUGUUAGUGCGUAUUGGCGAUGCA